UGGUCAUCACAAUAGAUACUUUAUUUGAAGUGGAAUGCAUUUAAAUAUGAAAAAUAUAUCACAUCUCCCAAAAGUCAUUAGAGGCAUAUUUAUACAAAUUGCGACCACACUAUUAAGUUCACAAAUGUGAUGCACUUUCUAAAGCAUGUGGUACCUGGUGAUGCUUGGUUUUCAGAAGCCGAUACUUGCAAAUUCUAAAACCUUAAGCGGAAGACGGAUGGUGGAAUGUAACGGACGGUAGUUUUAUCCUUCCUCACAAAAUAAAUACAGUGAUCUAGAAGGACCACGUAUUAUUGAACCCACCGCCCCCACCACCACCACCGGGCCUAACUGAUCCCGGACAGGUCACUUCAGAGCAGGUGGCAGUAGGUCUCACCAGCUUUUAUGCUUUUAUGCAGAUGCUUCCAGGGUCCUUCUGCCGCCUUCACUGUACCACAGGGGCCCUGCCAGGAAAACCCCGGUGGAGUCCUUCCUCCACUUGGCAGAUGUCCUGCCGACAAAGUCACAGGCCGCCUUGUCAUCCAACCUAGUGUAGCCCUAGAUCCGUUCAACACUGCAGAUCAAAAAGUUGCCCUUCGAAUUGUGUCAAGUCUACAAAACCGAUCUUUAAAACCCAUUCAACAGAACUCCAUGGGUAGUCCAGCUUAGGGUGCUUUAGGUAUGUGUGCGUGUCUCUUGGGAGAGUCGCGGAUGCACUGGACGUGAGCCCUGGGAUUCCCACAUUUUACGCUGCUGCUCGGGGUGGCUUCCUGGCAAAGCCCCAGCAGCGAGCUCGGCAGGUUCGAAAGAGGAGCCCGAGGGCCCCCAGGGCCCCAGGCCGGUUUUCACCUUCGAGGCUCGGGCUGCACUCAGUCUCAGGCCCUGUCCUCGGCCCUGGAGCCAAAGGCAAACCAAGUCACUUGCCCCGGGGACGGAAAACAGGCAAUGUGCUGGACUCGCACUGGCCACAAGCUGGCCACGGUCAGGCCUGAGGCGAGGGGCCAAGGCGUGCUGCACCUGCUUGGGCCCAGGCCGUGACCCGGGUCCUGGGAUCGAGGCCCACGUGGGCUCCCUGCGGGGAGCCUGCUUCCCCCUCUGCCUGGGUCUCUGCCUCUCUCUCUCUCUCUCUCUCUCAUGAAUACAUAAAUAAAAUCUUUAAAAACACAAUGACCUCGGGUGGUUUGUAUCGUUUUCUUACAGAAUAUGGUACACUGGCCGCUGACACAGGGAGUGGCUUGCCUCUGUGUCCUGUGUGCUGCUUGUGCUGUUCUGAAAAAAUGAUCCAGCCACCCUGGGCUCAAAGUGUCAAACAACAAGACAUCCUGUCCCCCUCCUUUCUCAUUUCUGAGGUCUCACAGGUAAAUGCUGAGAAGGGUUGAGGCGAGAGGGCUGCCGGGAGGGCCAGCGUGGGGGGACUGUCCCAGCAGACCAGGGACAGGGCCGCGGAGGGGCGGACGAAGGCCCCAGGAAUCUGGAGGCCCCUUAACAGCCAGCCUCUGAGGGGAGAGGGGGCAGGAGAAAAUUCCAGCCCCGAAGAAAGCCUGGGCCUAUUGUCUCCCUAUUGUCUCCCACACGCUACCUCGCCUGUGCAUAAGUGGACAACAUACAAAGGCCUUUGAAGGGCCCCCAACAAUGUUAAUCUUAAAAAUAUUUGGUAUGGAUUGGACUUCUUUUUUUUAUAGCACAAAAACUUGAGAGACAAAAACUACGGUUGAAUCGGGGGCUAUAGGGCCUGCGUAUAUUAAGACCAUACAACGAGGCAUUAUCUAAAAAGCACAACCGUGGUUCGAGAGAAGCCGAAGCACAGUUAAGAACUCUUCAGAUCUGUUGUCAGAACUGCCCGUCAUACCCACACACAUACCUACACGUAUAUGCACGUGUGUGUGUGCGUCUGUGUGUAUCUAUUUACGUUUCUGACCUUUGCAGCCUAUUUCCAGAACUGUGACUUAGCCACUGGAAGUGGGAGUCCCUUAAGGUGUACUUGCUAUUUGCCUGAGUUUGAACUCCCCCCCCAACCCACAACUUUUCAGAUUAGAGUUGUGACCCCAAAAUUCAUCAUUUAAAUAUUGUACUAGAAAGGAAUUUGAUCUCAACUCCUUUCUAGGUGGAAGGAGAAUAAAGAGGUCUCUAGCACGGCCUUCUCUUUUCCUUUCUCGACUCUGCAACUUAGCAAUGGCCUAGUAAUACUGACCAUUCAGUAUUUGGAUGCUGGAAAAAUACUGAUCAAGACUUUGUGAAAAAGAUAAUGGAAAACAGAGACCAUCAAUAAAGGCAUGCAGAUAGGAAGUGAUUUUCAGCCCCAGGAGGAUUUGGUAUCAACUAGGGUUCUUUUUUAAGCCUAAGCAGCAUCUGCCCUUGUGGAUUUGGACCAUCCUUUUGAUUUGAUACAGAAGAGGGUUUGUUCCACCUUUAAAAGCACAUCCUCCCCCGCUGCUCCACCCCACCCCUCAGACUCCUGAACAAGUGGCUGCUAAAACAAGACUGGGUUGUUUUCUUACUGAAAAUCCAGGCUUUAUCCAGUCCUUCCUUUUUCAAUGUCUGAGUUUAGCUAACCUGGCUACAUGAUAUACGACCCUCAUGUCUCACAGAGCAGUAAGAAGCAGAAGAGUUGGUUUCUCUGCUCAGCAGUAUUUUCGGUAUGAAUACAAAAAAGCUAAGACUCCUAGUCCUUCGAAAUAUUUAAAAUAUCUAUUUUAGAUUAUGAGAUUCUAGAGUACAUUUCUAGAAUACAGUAAAAGGGUCAGAAAAGGUGUUCAAGUAGAGUGUGCAAAGCUCUCAGAGAAGGGUAAUCUCUAGGGUGGGUAAGAGCACAAAUGUUCUCUCCAACAAGUUGAACAGUUCUCUUCCCCCCACCUCCACCCCCGCCCCGCUGUUUUUUUUUUUUUUUUGAAAUGAUGAAAUGAAACGCCUAAUGCACUCAUACUCAGAAAUCACAGAAGUCUCAUUAGCCCCUUCAAACAGAUGACAUAAGCAAAGCUUUUCCUCCAUUACAUCAGCCCUACCAUUUAUUCAGGAUACGCUCAUCCUGCCAUCAGUUGGGUUAUGUGUUAAAUAUUUGGAAUUAGAUAUCACUACUACAAAUCUCCUUUUAGAAAAGGAAUUAGAUUUUCAUAGUUAUACGAUUCCGAACACUGAGCUUUUGAAAACUUCUACUCGAAAGAAAAUGUAUGUCUAAGAAAAAAAAAAAAA
rnacentral:lncRNA from 1 species